rnacentral:misc_RNA from 1 species
UCUGUGGCACUCGCUUAUAAUCAGGUAAAUACUGGACAACGGUUCACAAGUCUAGGGUAUCUGCAGUUAAAAGAGAAGAAAGAGAAUCGAUUAUAGGAUGGCCAAUCCAAAAGUUUUCUUAAUUUGAGGGGAAUGCCUAUGUUUGAUUGAUUCUAAUUCUGAAAUGAAUGGAGAAGCUGAUGGAGUUUUUGCCUCAUUCAAUACACUUGGUUAUCCAGUGUUUCCACAUCUAGAUUUAGCAGUACUUUUCUCUGUUGCAUAUAAGGAUGUUAUUAAUUAUAUGUUACAAAAGAAUAUUUUAAAUUGAUUUGACAUGGCAUUUUUAUGUGUUAAAUUUUGUAUAAUGAUUUCCAUGCAG